UCCCUGGCAGUCCAGUGGUUAGGACUUGGCGUUUUCAUUGCUAUGGCCCAAGUUUGAUUCCUGGUCAGGGAA
rnacentral:tRNA from 1 species